UACGAAGGGGGCUAGCGUUGUUCGGAAUCACUGGGCGUAAAGCGCACGCAGGCGGAUCGAUAAGUCGGGGGUGAAAGCCCGGGGCUCAACCUCGGAAUUGCCUUCGAUACUGUCGGUCUCGAGUCCGGGAGAGGUGAGUGGAAUUCCUAGUGUAGAGGUGAAAUUCGUAGAUAUUAGGAAGAACACCAGUGGCGAAGGCGGCUCACUGGCCCUGUACUGACGCUUAGGCGCGAAAGCGUGGGGAGCAAACAGG
rnacentral:rRNA from 1 species